rnacentral:rRNA from 1 species
AUACGGAGGGUGCGAGCGUUAAUCGGAAUUACUGGGCGUAAAGCGUACGUAGGCGGUUCGUUAAGUUAGAUGUGAAAGCCCCGGGCUUAACCUGGGAACUGCAUUUAAAACUGGCGAACUAGAGUUAAGUAGAGGAGAGUGGAAUUUCAGGUGUAGCGGUGAAAUGCGUAGAGAUCUGAAGGAACACCAGUGGCGAAGGCGACUCUCUGGACUUAAACUGACGCUGAGGUACGAAAGCGUGGGUAGCAAACGGGAUUAGAAACCCCAGUAGUCC